rnacentral:tRNA from 1 species
GAGGGUAUAGCUCAGUGGUAGAGUGCAUGCUUAGCAUGCGUGAGGUCCUGGGUUCAAUCCCCAGUACCUCCA